rnacentral:rRNA from 2 species
UGGCUCAGAACGAACGCUGGCGGCAGGCCUAACACAUGCAAGUCGAGCGGCCGUAGCAAUACGGCAGCGGCAGACGGGAGAGUAACACGUGGGAACGUGCCCUUCGGUUCGGAAUAACUCGGGGAAACCCGAGCUAAUACCGAAUACGCCCUUACGGGGAAAGAUUUAUCGCCGAUGGAGCGGCCCGCGUCUGAUUAGCUAGUUGGUGAGGUAACGGCUCACGAAAGAAGACGAUCAGUAGCUGGUCUGAGAGGAUGAUCAGCCACAUUCCGACUGAGACAGAACCCACUCCUACGGGUCGNAGCAGUGG